GGCUCUGUUAUGAUAAACACACAUUCUAGAAUGCUGACCUACACCAAAAACAUACAUUCCAGAAGUAACAGGUGAGGCCAGUGAGCCACACAAUCUCAGAUCACUCAAUGAGCACCCUCCUCCUCUGGGAAGACAAGAAAGAGGAAUUACAGAAAGACAAAGGUGUGAAAAUGGACUCAGAAAAUUAAACAGCACGGAAUUUGGAAGUGGCCUGAAGACACGGAGUCAACUGAAGCCAUCCAAAGAGCCCAUGGUUCCCCUUUCUCAGAAGGAAACUCCAUUUGUAGAAGUCUGUAGAUGCCCUGUGACUUUAUGGCUUCCUCGAGCUUAGAUACCUAAACUCCUAUAUAAGGAAUUCUAGCUAGAGAA